UUUCGGCUUGCUGUACAGACUGCUGCUGCACCAGCUGGCUAGGUUGCUCUUACUGCAAUGGUUCAGAGAUGCCUAAUACCUCCCCUGAAAGACAUGCUCAGUUUCUGCUAGAAUGACAGGAAGGAUUCCCUAAAGAUGCUUUGCCACAUACAGCAGGAAGAAACUUUAAGAAAAUAACUCUCACAUUCCCAAAAGAGAGGCCUGAAAAGAGCAUUUGAUCCCCUGGAAAUGAAGUUACAGAUGGCUCUGGGUUCUGGCAGCCAAGUCCAAGUCUUCUACCAAAGUGGGUUUCUCUGUGUAAUCCUGGAUCUCCUGGAACUUUCUAUGCAAACCAGGCUGGCCUUGAAAUUCAUGGGGAUCUAUUUGCAUCUGCUUCCUGAGUGCUUCAGUUAAAAGUGUGUGUCAUCCUGAUACAACUUCAUCACUUCCUCCUUUACAAAGUCGGUGUCUCAGAAUCCCACUCUACUUGGCAUCCUACUUAACAAAUUCUUUCAAACAUUUUCAAUAAAAAUUUUUUGAGCAGUUAAAUGAGAGGAUUAUCUAUAAUGAGAGAAAGAAUCUUGCCACAGGAAACACAAUGUAUCAACGAGGAGAAACUUAGGGGACAAGAAAUUUGUGGCUAUAAACCACAAUGCAGCAUGGGGAGAAAGAAGCUAUGCUACCACAUCUCUCUGCUGUACUCAAGACACGCCCUCCUUGACAGUCUGCGUCCCUGGCUGGAUCUCUAAUAAGACACCUUCCUCCUGCUCUCACUAGCUAAAGCUUCCUCCUCUGGAAUCCUAGCUUUCCUUCAGAGUCAGAACAAACACCACCCUGUUAUGACCAGCCCUGGAUGAAAUCAAGUCUCCUUCCCCAGUCCCAACACAAGGCAGAGAGAGUCCUGUCUUCUUCCACACAGCCUCUUCUUCCAGUGUGGAAGAGCUGCGGUCUCUGUGGACCUCACCUCAUAUUUCACGUGGAUAUAUUGAAAUAAAAUCUACUUGGUGGUUGAGUUAGCUGAAGACAAGCCCAAAGAACUGAGUUUUUAAGAAGCCAGGAGGGGUGAGAAGUAAAUGUGUCUGUUAGAAGAUGGGGGUCCCUAGCUCUAACAGAGAUGGUGAUCCUCUCCUGGAGAGAAGGGUUGAGCACAGAGAAGAUGAGGGAGUCCCAAAGACUCGUCCAGACAGAAGACACUCAUCAUCUCACAGACCAGAGGAUGGCCUCAGGCUGGAUGUCUGACUGCAAGGGGAGAAUGACCUUAAUUAUUUCUGGGGCCAACUGGGGAGAGAAAGAGUGGAGGGGACAGAGGUUUGGGCAAGGGAGAGAGAGAAAAGAGGAAGGCCUGGUGGAUUAACUAGGGAGCAGUUGGAAAACAAUUCCAAGUGUUUUGAGAGUUGCCAGGACCCAUCAGUAUGAACGAACAGG